UAUUGCGCAAUGGGCGAAAGCCUGACGCAGCGACGCCGCGUGAGGGAUGAAGGUCUUCGGAUNGUAAACCUCUGUCAGGAGGGAANNCGNNNUNAUAUGCGAAUAGUGUAUGACUUUGACGGUACCUCCANNNGNCNCACCGGCUAACUCCGUGCCAGCAGCCGCGGUAAUACGGAGGGUGCGAGCGUUAAUCGGAAUCACUGGGCGUAAAGCGCGCGUAGGCGGCUUUUCAAGUCAGGGGUGAAAUCCCACGGCCCAACCGUGGAACUGCCUUUGAAACUGUAGAGCUUGAGUGUCGGAGAGGGUGGCGGAAUUCCAGGUGUAGGAGUGAAAUCCGUAGAUAUCUGGAGGAACACCGGUGGCGAAGGCGGCCACCUGGACGACAACUGACGCUGAGGUGCGAAAGCGUGGGUAGCAAACAGG
rnacentral:rRNA from 1 species